ACCCGGUUAGCUCAGUUGGAAGAGCGACAGCCUUCUAAGCUGUAGGCCUUGGGUUCGAACCCCAAAUCGGGUG
rnacentral:tRNA from 1 species